CAUGGCCCAUGUAGGCACAGGCUGAGCUGCUGGAUGGCUGUAACUGCUGGGAGACUGAUGGGAUAGUAUCUGAUGCUGGCAAAUACUCUUCUUCUCCAGACUGACCUUUCCAGGUUUUAUUAUUAUCAACAUCUAUCCAACUGCUGCUUCCUGCCUAACAUAAUGUGACUUCACUCUACUAAUCUCAGGGCUCCCAAACCCUUCAGGAAGCUUUCAUUACUGGCACUAGGAAAAGCUCAGUACUUGGGAAGCUACUCCUGCCCACCCUACCUUGAUUUCUGGCAGCUCAGCCGUUGUCCUGGGACCUCGGCACCUGUCUGCACGGCCAGAAAGGAAGUGACUGUUUACCCUCAGAGGACUAUAUUACCACAGUGACUUGCUUGGAUGUACCCCAAAAGGACUCACUGAGCUCCACUCACCUCCAAAGGCUGGUCGUCUUCUACAUCUGAGGUUUUGCCUCUUGCUGCCACUCUUUGUUCAUGCGCUGUAUCUCCUAAUAGACAAAGAA